rnacentral:rRNA from 1 species
UACAGAGGUGGCAAGCGUUGUUCGGAAUUACUGGGCGUAAAGGGCGCGUAGGCGGCCUACUAAGUCAGACGUGAAAUCCCCCGGCUUAACCUGGGAACUGCGUCUGAUACUGGAAGGCUUGAGGAUGGGAGAGGGAUGUAGAAUUCCAGGUGUAGCGGUGAAAUGCGCAGAUAUCAGGAAGAACACCCGUGGCGAAGGCGGCUCUCUGGGACGGUACUGACGCUGAGACGCGAAAGCGUGGGGAGCGAACAGG